AACACCCGAAAUCACAUUUUGGGAUUUAAAAAAGUUCUCUAAAGAUUUUGAAUUAUCUUCUAAUAAGAACUUUCUCCUUGAAGUUGCUUCUCGUAAAGACAACUAUUUUUUUGUGAAUUGCAUAUUUAAAAGCAUGUUACUUAAAUAAGAUAAUAAUGAUUAUUUAUACGCUUUGCAUACAUGAUGGGUCUUUGAGUUAGUUUGAAACCCAAGUCAGAUUUGAAUUUG
rnacentral:lncRNA from 7 species